GUAAAUAUAACUUAAUCAAAGUAUUAGAUUGUGAAUCUAAAGAUAGAGNAUUAAACCCCUCUUAUUUACC
rnacentral:tRNA from 1 species